rnacentral:tRNA from 1 species
GGGAAAGGCCUGAAGCAAAAAGCACUGCUAAUUCUUUUAUCUGUGGUUAAAAUCCACGGCUUUCUC